UUUUAGCAGUCAGUCAGUUCAGGUGACUGGCAGCUUUUCAAGUUUGAUUUUGACUUCUCAACUCAGCAGUUCAGAAGAGGUGAUACGUGGCUGCUUUAAAAAGCAGUCACAUUUCAAGUGAGCAUUAAUUCAUCGCAGAAACUGCAAAGUGGAGGAAUCACAAAGAGAAGAUGGAGGUAAAUGAAAUAUAAAAUUUCUGCCACAGAAACCCUAUAUUUGCAUAGACUGGCUGAUGUUAACCCUGCUUUCCAGGCCAAAUGAAGAAGACUUUAAGUCUGCAGCAGGAUACCUUGUCAAAAGAAUCCAAAGUCUAGUUAAUCUUGGAGAAAUAUACCACUGCAUCUAGCAACUGGUUUGUGUUCUUGGAUUUCUAUCCAAAUUAAAAUGAAGCAGAUUUGUUUAUCUGAUUAUAUCUGUGGCCUUGAAUUUGCUCCUAUGCUAUACUAUAUACUUCUGGUUUAAUGGGUCAGUUCAACUUUCAGUGCUUUACAGUCUUCACAGCCUUUUGUCAGUUCUCAUCUUUCUCUAAAGACUGAAGAACUUCAUGAUAGUGAUCUCACAUUAAACUUGCAGAUUCUAAUAGCAAUUAUUUUUGGUUGAUGCUACCUAAAACUGCCCAUGAGAUCAUACCACCAGUCCACUGCCUUCUGUGCAGUGGAACUGUAUGAUUACAUUUCACUGAACAGAAAGCUGGUAGGAGCUUGCGUGUACUGCUGUAAUCUGUAGUUUUCACUGCAAUUCUUUAUAGCACAGCAAGUGCAUUAAUUGUUUUACAUACUGUUAGAAAUAAAAGGCUUCUUUGAUA